UGCUAGUUUCAACCGCUCUUUUGUGUGUUCUUAAGAAAUUUUUAUUUAAUAAAAAUUCACAUACAAGGCGAGUCUAGACUGGAGG
rfam:Spiroplasma culicicola AES-1, complete genome.